GCCAGAUCUUCCCAGGCUUUGUAAGCCGUGGCGGGGUGAUUCGAUUUUAUCCACAGUGGAUGGGGAGCCGCAAGAAGGGUCUGAAUGGAGUUGGAUGUGAGAGAACACAGUCAUCCUGAGUAAAAGCUAAGGCUGGUUUCCAACUUCUGGACUCAAGUGAUCCUCCGGCCUCAGCCUCCCA